GAUAAACGCUGGCGGCGUGCAUAACACAUGCAAGUCGAACGAUGAAACUUAGCUGAUUUCUUCGGAAUGAAAUUAAGUGGAUUAGUGGCGAACGGGUGAGUAACACGUGAGUAACCUGCCUUACACAAGGGGAUAGCCUUUGGAAACGAAGAAUAAUACCCUAUAACGUCAAAAUAUCGCAUGAUAUAAUGACCAAAGAUUUAUCGGUGUAAGAUGGACUUGCGUCUGAUUAGCUAGUUGGUGAGAUAAAAGCCCACCAAGGCGACGAUCAGUAGCCGGCUUGAGAGAGUGUACGGCCACAUUGGGACUGAGACACGGCCCAAACUCCUACGGGAGGCAGCAGUGGGGAAUUUUGCACAAUGGGGGAAACCCUGAUGCAGCGACGCCGCGUGAUUUAGAAGGCCUUCGGGUUGUAAAAAUCUUUUUUAUGGGAUGAAAAUGACAGUACCAUAAGAAUAAGGUCCGGCUAAAUACGUGCCAGCAGCCGCGGUAAUACGUAUGGACCGAGCGUUGUCCGGAAUCAUUGGGCGUAAAGGGUACGUAGGCGGCCUAGUAAGUUAGAAGUGAAAUAAUAUAGCUCAACUAUAUAAAGCUUUUAAAACUGUUAGGCUUGAGAGAUGAAAGGGAAAGUGGAAUUCCUAGUGUAGCGGUGAAAUGCGCAGAUAUUAGGAAGAAUACCGGUGGCGAAGGCGACUUUCUGGUCAUCAUCUGACGCUGAGGUACGAAAGCGUGGGUAGCAAACAGG
rnacentral:rRNA from 1 species